CUUAUUCUCAGCAGCAUUCCAGGGCACCACACACCCAAGAUGUGUGCACACUGCAUUUAUUCCAUAUGUUGCUAAAGUCCUGUCUUUCUCCACAACAAGGUAGGUGGGAUCUCCCUUAAUCACAGAAAAAAGCCCAAAUGAUACUCAUCAUCACUUCAUAUUUAAAAGUUGGAGUAAGUGUUGUUCUUUGUAACUUAAAUGCUUAUUCUGUAAUUUUACUCUUUUACUUGGCCCUUCUGUGACUUGUAAUUUCUCAAGAUUCCAUGCUAGCUGUGCUCAAAAGGAAUCAAAAUGAUCUAGUUUUGGCACAUUCAUACACGCAAAGAAUCAUUUAUGUUUUUAGGAAAAUUAACUAUUUAAUCUAUAUGGUAUAGAAAACUCGUUAGUUGAUCUUCUAUUUUGAAAAAUGUAUUAAAACAUUUCGAUAUUUUAGAAGUUUAGAAUUAGUUUUUUUUGUUGAUAUAUUAAUUUCCCUUAUGCUGUUUGUGUAGCUAUUGGUACCUUCAAUCCUUGAGUGAGGGUUCGGUCACCAGGGCCAUGAGUCUUAAGCCAUUGUGCUGCAAUUACAUCAUUUCCAACUGCAUCCUUUGCUACGGUGCCACCUCCAGCACCUCCCGUCCUGUUAAAAGUUUCCCAUUGAAACAUCAAACUUUGUGCUUAAAAUUUAAACAGAGAGAGAAUUUAUCAAUAUUAGGGAACUUUUGAGCAAAUCCAAUUACUUACCCAG
rnacentral:lncRNA from 1 species